CUGAAGCUUGGAGGGACUGGCAAAAUUCCUAGGGAACCAAGCUUUGAUGGGUGACAAAGUGAUGUCUACAUGCAAGAAAAGAGGAAGAAAUCCAAUAGAGGAGAGCUGCGUUCUUUAUUCGGUGGCGCCAUCCUUCCUGGAUUGAGGGUGCACCCUCAGCUCCUGAAGGUCCUGUUUCCUAACCCUCAGCUCUGUGGCAGACUUGACAACUCCAUUUUAAAAUGUCACUGCAAAAAUGUCAAGGCAAUCCUAGCUAAGCCCACGCAAAGAAUAAAUGAAGACUCACCUCCCGAUGCCCACUUGGUAAGGGUGUUUCUUGGCUCAUGAUGGGUCUUUCGUCCUUGAAAUACAGGAUGCGGUUUUCCCAGGCUUUAAGAGCACAGACUGUUCCAACAAUAACUCUUUAAACAUGUGACUCUCAGAUGAGAAACAUCAGUGGUUCAGCACAUACUCACAUGCUGGAAACCUGACCCUGAAACCAGCCCUCCAUGAUCGUCGAUUUCCUAAACCCCAAAGUAAGCUACUUCAAGAUGGAAAUGCUCAGCAGUGAGAGGGUGGAACUUUAGGUGAAGGAAGCUGGGAAUUGGUCUACAGAGAAAUGCUUGAGCAACACAUGACAUUUUGAAGAUGAAAGGGCACAUUGCAUAUUCAUAAAUCAGAGACCAUGAAAAGUGGCUCAGUAAAGAAGCAGGUGUGGCUUUGUUUGAUCCAACGUUUCUGAAAACAUUCCAUUAUCAACACUUUUGCAUUUAAUAUUUGAGAAACAUUUACGCUGGCUAGCUUUAUGUCAUUUUUAGAUAAAGCUACAGUAGUUUGGGCAAAAGAAACAUCAGUUGAGAAAGUGCCCCCAUCAGACUGGAUUGAGGGCAAGCCUGGGGGCGCAUUUCCUUGGUCAGUGAUUGGCCUGGGGAAGGAAGAGCUCACUGUGUGUACUGCCCCACACGGACUGGUGCUACUAGAUUGUAUUAAGAUGCAGGAUGAGAAAGCCAUGAGGAGAAAGCCAGGACACAGCAUCACUCCAUGGUCUCUGCUUCAGUUUCUGCCUCCAAGUUCCUGCCUUGAAUCCCUGCCCUGACCUCCCUGGAUUAUAGAGUAAAAGUUAUGAGAUAAAUUAAACCCUUUCUUUGCCAACCUGCUUUUGGUAAUAGUGCUUUAUCACAGCAAUAGAAACACUUAAAACAGUUUUCAAGUAUGCAUUACAGAAAACACUGCUUUCAAAAUUAAGUCUAAACUUUUUAUCGUGGUAAACUUCCAAAAUUAUGUCCAAGCUUCUUAUGCUUACAGAACAGAGUUGAUCAUGUCUGCUUUGCUUCUGAGAGUCCUACUUUAUUAUUUUGUUCCCAGUAUCCUGUCUGUUGAACCACCCAUUCACUCUUAAAAGUACCUCAGUUCAGAAGAUACAUCGUUGAGUCACGUUGCAUCUAAGGAGCACAAGCUUCAGUUCCCGGCUUUCCAUGUUCUACAAUACAUUGCUUUAAGGAACUUCAAUCUCUGCUCGUACCUCCCUCCUGGCAACAGCAUGACCGACCACACACUGGAGGUUUUCUUAUUUCUGUACUUCGGCUCACGGAGUUAUCUUUAACUAUCAUCUGCUGUUCUUACUUCCUCAUUUUAAUGUGUGUGUGCUUUCUUUUUAAUUUUAGCAUAAUCUUAGACGUAGGAAAGUUGCAAGUUGAGCAUAAUAGCUCAUGCCCGAAAUCCCAGAACUCGGGAGGUGGGGCAAGAUUGCUGUGAAUUUGAGACCAACUUGACCUACAUAGAAAGCUAGAGACCAGAAUAAGCUAUAGAGUGAGGCUUUGCAAUCAAUUAGCAGACAGACAGACAGACAGAUGGACGGAUGGACUGACUGAUUGACUGACCAGGGGCAGGGAGAAGGUUUCGUAAGUAAAGGCAUUUGCCCUCAAGCCUGGCAAUGUAAGUUCAAUCCCCAGUUUUCACCUGGUGCAAGAAGAGAAGUGACAGGGGUUGGGGAUUUAGCUCAGUGGUAGAGGGCUUGCCUAGGAAGCGCAAGGCCCUGGGUUUGGUCCUCAGUUCCGAAUUGAAAAAACAACAAAACAAAAAACAAAACAAAACAAAACAAAAAAAAAACCAAGAAGAGAAGUGACUCCAUGCCUUCUGAACUCUACGUGUUUGCACGAUGCACACAUGCUCAAUAAAUACAUGAUCUAGAAAGAUGUUUGGAAGACUUCCCAAAGAUCCUGCAGAAUUUGUAUAUGAAGCUCAUUCAGGUGCUUAAGGUAACAACUUGUAUGACAUUUGUUGAACAUAAGCAGUGAAUCUCUGUACUGUAGCAUCAAUUAAACUGCUGGCUGCAGAUAAACAGUUAUGCUAAUGGCUGUUUCUUCUGGGAACCAACCCCAGGAAUCCAAACUGUGUUUUGACAGCGUUUCCUUUGUCGUCUCCUCCUAUCUGUGACUAUCUCUGUUUUCUGUUGCAUGGCCUUGAUACUUUUUAAGUCAUGAGUUCUGCAUAAUACACACCUCACUGAUGAGCUAUGCAGAUGGGCAGGAUCAGAGGCGUCUGGAAAGCAAGCCACAGAGGAAGUGGCCUUCUCUUCAUGGUAUGUCACCUCAGGUGGGACAGGACAUGGGCACGGCCCAUUGUUGGCGACGGCGGCUUCAGUCUCUAGGCUGAGGUGCUGUCUGAGUCCCCCCAAGGGCAAAAGACCAGUUUCAUUUCCAUAUAACACUAUAGCAGGAUCCCAUGCCUUCUUUACAUUCAAGAAGAAUAGAUUUGAACUCCAGAUUUAAAAAGAAAGCUCAUUAAGCUUAUGGCCUGGGUAUAUAGAUGAAAUCUCAGUACCUGGGAGGCAGGAGAAUUACUGUGAGUUUGACACCAGCCUGGAGUACAUAGUUAAACAAUGUCUCAAACACCACUGCAAACAAGAGUAACAAAGUUUAUGGGACUAUUCUGAAACUGCAACAUUAGGUAAUUAAUCUUUGGGGAG
ensembl:lncRNA LOC108349187 uncharacterized LOC108349187